ACCCCCUGACAUCGGGCAAGGAGACACCUGAUUGGUGGGGUUGGUCUUGUAUCAGUCAGGGGCAGAGCAAAUGCACAGUCCUUGUCCAUCCUAGCUUGAUGCCUGUGUUGGUGGCCAGAGCUGCGUGCCUUAGGCACAUAA